ensembl:scaRNA small Cajal body-specific RNA 18
UGGUCAGUGAUGACUAGCCCACUGCGCAAUCUGAGCAGUGUCUUUUUGCUUAAAGGCACUGCUGAGGAGAUUAGUGCUGGUUGUUGUCUGAGACUG